CACCAGAUGACUGAAAGUAAGUGUAGGUCUUUUAAACCUAUUAUAGUCAGUAACGCCGACUUCUGGUGA
rnacentral:tRNA from 1 species